UACAGAGGUCUCAAGCGUUGUUCGGAAUUACUGGGCGUAAAGGGUGCGCAGGCCGCGCGGGCAGUCAAAUGUGUAAUUCAGGGGCUCAACCCCUGCACUGCGCUUGAUACUUCCGCGCUCGAACCUUGGAGAGGAGUCUGGAAUUCUCGGUGUAGAGGUGAAAUUCGUAGAUAUCGAGAGGAACACCGGUGGCGAAGGCGGCCUUCUGGACAGUGACUGACGCUGAGACGCGAAAGCGUGGGGAGCAAACAGG
rnacentral:rRNA from 1 species